rnacentral:misc_RNA from 1 species
GCAGUCUUCUUUCUCAGUAGGUGGUGCAGAUCAAGCCCAUUGAUUUUGGCAGCAAGUAUGAAGUCAUUUUCUGUUAGUCCACCAACUGCAUGAGUCCAUAUCUCAAUUUUUACAUUGUUCCAACCAACAAGAUGAAGAUCUGGAUGAUGACCUUCUGUUUCAGCAACAUUCCCUACUAGCUGAAAUAAAUCCAACCCUUUGGUGAAACUCUUUACUUUCCAUGAUCGAUGCAGCUUCAGUGUACCAUCUUCUUUCACCAAAUUCCACCCGCCAACCUUUGACAUCAUUUCAGUUGCGCUUUCUUCUUUCAUAGGCCGCAAAUCCUUUGAGUUGCAUGGUACACACUUCUUAGCAGCCAAAUCUCUGCCAGUGCAAAAAGUUCUACAUGAGUUCCUAUUUGAUGACACUCCCACACGAUCCCAAAGUAUCUCUUUCACACGAUUACCGGAGCAUCCAUGUCCUCUUUGGCUUUUGAAUAGAGAUGCUGGUGGCACCUGAGGUCUGGACAGAAAGAGCAGAGGUGGCAGUAACAA